UCUGGUUAGGCAAUGCAAGGUGCAUACCGCGUGUGGGAGGAGGUCUGUGGAUUGUAACCCCUUUUCUCAGGGAAGAGCUCUGACGGUACCUGAGGAUCAGCAUCGGCUAACUCCGUGCCAGCAGCCGCGGUAAUACGGAGGAUGCAGCGUUAUCCGGAAUUAUUGGGCGUAAAGCGUCCGCAGGCGGCUAGAUAAGUCUGCUUUCAAAGAGUGGGGCUCAACCCCAUAGAGGGAGUGGAAACUGUUUAGCUAGAGUAUGGUAGGGGCAGAGGGAAUUCCCAGUGUAGCGGUGAAAUGCGUAGAUAUUGGGAAGAACACCAGUGGCGAAGGCGCUCUGCUGGACCGAGACUGACGCUGAGGGACGAAAGCUAGGGGAGCGAAAGGGAUUAGAUACCCCUGUAGUCCUAGCUGUAAACGAUGGACACUAGGUGUUGCGCGUAUCGACCCGUGCAGUGCCGUAGCUAACGCGUUAAGUGUCCCGCCUGGGGAGUACGCACGCAAGUGUGAAACUCAAAGGAAUUGACGGGGGCCCGCACAAGCGGUGGAGUAUGUGGUUUAAUUCGAUGCAACGCGAAGAACCUUACCAGGGUUUGACAUCCCUCGAAUCUCUGUGAAAGCGGAGAGUGCCUUCGGGAGCGAGGAGACAGGUGGUGCAUGGCUGUCGUCAGCUCGUGUCGUGAGAUGUUGGGUUAAGUCCCGCAACGAGCGCAACCCACGUUUUCAGUUGCCAGCAUUAAGUUGGGGACUCUGGAGAGACUGCCGGUGACAAACCGGAGGAAGGUGUGGACGACGUCAAGUCAUCAUGCCCCUUACAUCCUGGGCUACACACGUACUACAAUGGUUAGGACAAAGGGCAGCGAAGCCGCGAGGUGAAGCAAAACCCACAAACCUAGCCUCAGUACGAGAGUGUCGAGAGACGUGCAGGUCAGCAUCAUGAACAGAAUAGCACUUAUGGACAG
rnacentral:rRNA from 1 species